rnacentral:rRNA from 1 species
UACGGAGGGUGCAAGCGUUAUCCGGAUUCACUGGGUUUAAAGGGUGCGUAGGUGGGUCUGUAAGUCAGUGGUGAAAUCUCCGGGCUUAACCCGGAAACUGCCAUUGAUACUAUAGGUCUUGAAUUAUCUGGAGGUGAGCGGAAUAUGUCAUGUAGCGGUGAAAUGCUUAGAUAUGACAUAGAGCACCAAUUGCGAAGGCAGCUCACUACGGAUAUAUUGACACUGAGGCACGAAAGCGUGGGGAUCAAACAGG